rnacentral:rRNA from 1 species
AGAACUUAGCAGAGAUGCUUUGGUGCCUUCGGGAACUCUGAGACAGGUGCUGCAUGGCUGUCGUCAGCUCGUGUUGUGAUAUGUUGGGUUAAGUCCCGCAACGAGCGCAACCCUUAUCCUUUGUUGCCAGCGGCUCGGCCGGGAACUCAAAGGAGACUGCCGGUGAUAAACCGGAGGAAGGUGGGGAUGACGUCAAGUCAUCAUGGCCCUUACGGCCAGGGCUACACACGUGCUACAAUGGCGCAUACAAAGAGAAGCGACCUCGCGAGAGCAAGCGGACCUCAUAAAGUGCGUCGUAGUCCGGAUUGGAGUCUGCAACUCGACUCCAUGAAGUCGGAAUCGCUAGUAAUCGUAGAUCAGAAUGCUACGGUGAAUACGUUCCCGGGCCUUGUACACACCGCCCGUCACACCAUGGGAGUGGGUUGCAAAAGAAGUAGGUAGCUUAACCUUCGGGAGGGCGCUUACCACUUUGUGAUUCAUGACUGGGGUGAAGUCGUAACAAGGUAGGCGUAGUGCU